AAUGGUAUAAUUCGACAUUUAAAUGCACUUUCGUUGUUCUUAGGUCUUCUCUUCCAGUAGUACCCACAUUGUGAAGUCAGACAGACGUCGAACCCAUUUUUCAUCUUAUUAACAUUCAGUCAAGUUCUACGUGAGAGGAGGCUGACAGGUGAAAAUGGAAAGAGAGGUAACGUCAAGAACAUUGACAAGGCUCAGGAGAACAACACGGGAUUUUGGUGGUAAGUAUUGAUGAAAUUAGAACACAUUUACAGAUAUAUUUGCCAGCCCUUUUAACAGGUAAAAUAGAUUUGUAGUGCUUGUUUAAAUAAUUGUGUAGGCUUUUGGUAAACCUUGUGAUUCGGGAGCCAUUUUAUCCAAACUGUAAAGUUAUACAUAAGACUUGUACAUUGUAAAUGCCAGGACGAAAUCUUACAGUAAGAAGAGUUUUCACCAUUUUAUAUCCAUCAAUCUACAUUUGCAAUAUGUUUUUUUUUCAGUCAGAGAAUGUAAGUAUUGAAGAAAUCAAGAAAUGACAAAACGUACCCAUGUCAACCUUUAAAUUAUGAACAUUAAACUGCAGUGUUUUGAUAAUCAUUUGUGUACGCUUUUGGUUAACAAGGUAAAUUGGAAACGGUUUAUCCAAUUACAACUUCCAAUUUUCAUUAAGAUUUUCACAUUGGCAAAUACUCCCCAGAUGUUUAAAGAUAUUUUA